CCUCAUAAAAUCCACAACAAACAAAAACAAAUACUAAUUCAUAAAUUCAAAGUGUCAACUUAACAAAAAUGCUAAACUAUUUGAAUCUAACUAGUAUCUUUUUAAAUCUAAUAAGUUGUGCUAUCAAAUAGCUAUAAAAAGACAAUAUGAGACAACUAAAAGAUUCUACAUCUCUUAAUCACAAUGAAGUCUUGCCACUUGCCAAAUUUUUGAACAUCAUAAUAUAUGUCCUGAAAUGAUAAAAAAACAAAAUCAUAUAAACAACCACAUAUGAAGUUUAUCAAUAAUUAAUCGAACAACUAUGUAACAUUCACAAACUCAUGCUAGCAUAUCAAGGAAUUGCUACUAAAAAAUUCAAUCAAAACUAAUAUACAAAACGUCUAUUGUAUGAAACAUAGGCUAUAUUUUUGCAGUAGUCUUUUGUUCAAAAGUAAAUUUCUACUGGAAGAUCUCAAAGGCUGGUAUAAGCUCAAAAUCAACUUUAUUUCUAAUCUUCAUAUGAUAAUUAAUGCCUUUUUCAACUAGAUGGAUUACCAUUGGAUUAUUUUCAUUCUGUAGUUGAAUUAAUCCAGUCAUUCUCAGCAGGAAGUUAAGAGGAGGACUAAAUCUCUAAAUAUUUCACAAUGUCAAUAAUUCAUGUGACAGUUAAGGAGACAUUAGAUUUGCAAAUACAAAACCAUAUAAAUUCAUUAAUUCUCAGGUUUCGAUAACACAAUGAAAAAAUCUUUAAGUCAUAGCAUAUAUAACAUCAUUAAAAAAGAAAAACAUAUCUGCCAUAGUUUGGCUUCAUUCAACUGAUGCAGCUUCUUUGUAUCUCUUGUGCUAGAUUCUCGACAUGGCCAUAUAUGGAAUAGUAACUGCAUAGAUUUAUAUUUUUCACUAUUAGCCCAAAAUUGGUAAACAUAAAUGAAUCCGACAAUCAUCCCCACUUGUAGAAAUAAUUUUAAGAUUCAUAAGACUUUACAGUAUAUCAUAUAUGCAUUCUAGAGACAAGAAAAUUUGACUUUAAAUUGAAUAAGAGUCACAUAUCACACUAGAAUAAUUGCAUACCAUCCAAUUACAUAGCACCAAAUAUACCAAGGAUGAGAACAUAAAGCAUUACAAUUCAACUUCACAAAAAACUUCUAGAAAUGAAACAGGAAAAAGAUGGCACAAAUCAGAAAGCACUCUAUUGCCACAAAUUACCCAAUGAAGGAUUUCUAGAAUCAAGUCUUGGGAAUUUGUUGGGGGGCUUUUAUUACUAAUUGAAAUGUAAAAGAAAGGCCACGAUGUUCCGGCCUUAAAUAUAUAUGGUAGUUGUUACUUAUCAGUAUAACCAUAUACAAAGAUAAUACACCAAUUCUAUCCUACAUUUUAUAUUAAUACUUUAAUUAAAAAAAUCAUCUUUAAAAAGGCUAAAAGAAUACCUAUGAGACUAAUCAUAAGAAAAAAGUUCAUGAAACUAGCUUUAAUGUUUCAUCCUGAUAUGAGCAAGUGACUGAAGGAUCAAAUGGACAUGUUUAAGAAGCAUGUAGCUUGUUAUCUAGUAAGAACAAGAAAUCAUCACCUAUUUGAUCCAAAUCAAAUAUUAUCCCGCUAGCCUAUUUCAUAAUAUGAUUAGACAAACACACUCCGAUAACAUCUUUACAGUAGCUAAUUAUUGCAAGGGCAAGCUUCUACAAAACAUAAUUGAAAUAUAACUCAAGAAAUUCUUGUUACAGCAUUAAUCCUCCUCUUGAAAUAAAAUUUUACGUCAUCUAGUAGUUUAAUCUUCCACCAAUAUUUAGCCACUGGCCAAAUUAUGUAAAUAUAAGUUCAAAAGUAACUACUGGUAAUUUGGCUAAAGAGCCUUAUUUCUUUAAUGCACAAAGAGACUCGGUAUAGGGAGUAGUGAAUUUAUAGUUUGAGAUAUAAUUAACAUACUACCUUCAAAUACUAAACAAUAGUAAUUAUUCAAUGUUGAAACUAUCUUCUGUCAUCUUAUGAGUAGUAUUACCUUUGGCCUUGACCAAAGGAGCUAUUCCAUGUUAUACAAGAUCCAGAAAUUUAAAAAAAAUAAGGAACAUAACAAAAUAUUAUGGUCAAUUAAUAAAAGUGACUUACGUCCUUGAAAAAUUAUGCAAUUUGCAAGUGAACAUACUCCAAUAGCCCAGAUUCAAAAUCGAUUAUUACGCAUAUCUGCAGUUAUAAAUUAUUAAUUAAAUUCAAAUAAAGAAUGAUGUGGUUCUCUUGUUCUGUAGCUGACCUAAUUAAUUGGUAUUUGGAUGAAGUGAGUCACAUGAGAUAUGCUCUUAAAGAAUCAUUUGAAUUAGAACAUAAAUCUUACCCUAAUUCUAGGGAAAUAAGUGAGGAUGAUAAUAAAAUGAAACUUCAAAAUUAGCUUCCUCUAUUGUAAAACAUUCUAUUGACCAAUGUUAUUGAUUUCAUCAAUAUCCUUUGUCAGCUCUAUAUGAUUUCAAAGCCAAGAUAUAACAAAUAAGAUAUAUUGUCCAACAUAAAGUAAAUCUACUAGAUAGUUUAGCAGUAACUAGUAGGAAAGAGGGACGUUACUAUACAAUAAAUCUUAGUAUGUUUGACGUCAAACCUGAAAAAAGAGACACCACAAAAAAGGUUAGUUUUUGGAUUCCAAACCCUCACUUUUUGACUCCGUCCAAUUCUCGAAAUAUUGGGGGACCUUCAGCACGUAUUAAAAAAUUUAGCUUACUAAAAAUUGCAUUAAAUUAAUUACUCAUAUUGAUUAUCAAACUUCAACCUAGAAAUUUUAAUCAAACAUCAAGAAGGCAAUCCGACUUCUUGAAAUUUUUUAAUUCAACUCAAACGCGGUAUAAAAACUUGAGAAUUUUAAAAAUGAAAAAUCAACAACUGACCUGAAACAAGUAGAUUGAAGUAAUUCACAUCUUUGGGAAGCGGUGAAGAUAAUUACUAAUCAAUUUUACUCGAUUUUGGACUUCCGAAGAUCAAAGGAGAUCUACCAUUUUUCUCUAAGGAUUUAAAGCCCUAUCGUUAUGGGUUUCUAUGGAGAGAGGCAACAUAGCAAUGUGGAGAGAUAGAGUGUAGACGUCAAGAGAGAUGCAUUCUAUGAAGGCUCUAAAUGAUAAAUUCAAUAUAUG
rnacentral:lncRNA from 1 species